rnacentral:lncRNA from 1 species
AAUGCAUUUGCUUUCAGCCGCAGAGAGAAGAAGCUGCCCAAGAAUGGAAAGGAAGAAAUAUAUCACAUCAUCUGUCUGUCCACAGGCUUUCCUUGGGGCUUAUGAAGUGAAUGAAGGAGGGAAGAAAGGAGAGACAGAGAAAAUAUGGAUUUCCUCAUGGUUGUGAUUCCUCUUCACUCUUUUGAAUUUGGAAGGAUGGCAUACACAUCUGAAAAAUACCACUACUUCCUUCAUUGGACUGCAAGGUAUUUCUGUUUGGAAAAGUAAUGGAGUCCAGUCAACUUCAUUGAUCGCCAAGGACUGUCAAAAUUAUAAAACUUGCUGUGGAGCUCUGACAUGCCAGAAGCCGCUAGAAAAAGAAGUUUGACAUUCAGAAACUUAUCAAGAGGUUCUACUCUUUGGAUAGAGACCAAAAUCAUACUUUGAAAAAGCCUGACAGGUUUCUUCGGAAAAGUGGCCAUCCAUGGAAUGAAUGAAAUGUUCUCUUUCUAUUCCAGGGAUUGCAGUGGCAAAGCUAGGCUAGGUCUUGGAGGCUGGUGUAAGGCGAUGUGGGUGAAGGCAGGAGGCUGAUGGAAAGACUGGGGGGAAGAAAAGCCGAAAUGGAUUCACGGUGCCUUGGAUGAAGGACGAGAGGGGAACUGCAAGCUCCUUCAACUGGUUCUGUCCGGUGAGAAGUGAUCAAGCUUGGGCUGACAAGAGGCUCAGGGAGCCCUCACGUUCUUUCGCUUUUUUACCUGCCAAUCAAACUGCUACAAGACAACACCCUGAUCUGGCAUGGACAUCGCGGGUCCAAGCCUGUAGCCCCAAAUCGGAUAAUCUCUGCAGCUGAUAACAAGCAAAAGAGAAGCCAGGCAACAGCCAUAUUAAAGAAGAAAACAAUCAACUCUGAGAUCCAACUUAGAAAUAAUGUUUCAUUCAAGAUAAGGCUCGUGGCUUAGGAGAUUGUGACCUGGCUUGCAUCAUUCUAAGACUUCUAUCGUCUGUUUUCAAAACCCAAGGAGGACCUCCUUUUCUGUGUGAUAGUUCCUCAUGCUUUGCCAGCCACUGGGUCUUUAAGGAAGCUUGCCAAGAGUUCCCGGCUGGGAAGGACAGUUCGAGUUCAUCAUAGACAAUGAGCUGGCACCACAGUUUAAGUGACUCACCAACCUGGUUGCCCACUUCAAAAUGUCAAGAACCACACUAUCUAAUUGAAAGAACUGUGUUUUAGCAAAGUGUAAUUGGAUCGCCUGGCAAGAUCAUCUCAAACUAUGUCUCUGACCUUGCCUUUCAGUGGCUAUUUUGAGCACAAGAGGAGAAAGGAAAUGAUUCCUGAAUUAUAUCUUGUUUUUAAAAAUUAAGAUUAAUUAAUACUUGGUUUUAUGUUCAUUCCAUUGUAGGAACUUAGUGAUUAUUACAAAACAGUCAAAAUAGGUCAUAGCAAAAUGAACGUUUAAGAUUAGGUUAAAACAUUCCUCUGAAAUUUUAGUAUUCACUUUUGAAGUGUCAAUUACUAUAUUUCUGUAAUUUCUCAUUUUUUUCUUGGCUUAGAGUCAAGAUGAAAAAUGAUAUUUGAAUCAAAGACAUUGUUUUGUUAUAUAGCCACUCCUUUCUAAAAUGCAAAUCCACCCUCCCCUCACCAAUGCUUUAUUCUUUGUGCGCGCACACACACACACACACACACACACACACACACACACACACAGACAUACACAGAACCAGCACCCAAAUGGUAGAGGAGGUCCUUCCAAGACUUCUAGGACCUGGAUCAUGUAAGCAGUAGAUGAGAAAAUGAAGUAAGAGAUAUAGAGUAAUAACAAUAAAAGUCAAUGAUUUCAUUUUACAAAAAAGUCAUUGUGUAGUACUCAGAUAUUUUUAAGAGCAAGUAUUAUUAUGACUAAAGUAUAUUAUACUUCUAAAUUAUUAUGAUUCUCAUCUAAUUUCAAGCCACACAUAGGCGCCAUUUGAAAGCAUUUUGUGUUACAACCUAUCAACAAAAAUCAACUAAUAGUUUUAUAACGUGCAUAGGUUUACCCCAUGGGGAAUUAAAAUUUUUAUCUGCAAGUAUUUCUGUUGUUGUGAGACUUUAGGACAAGACAACAUUUGGUGUUAACAUAGAAGAAUAUUCUAUGGCUUUUUUAGCUUUAAAGUUCAUUACUCUAAAAUAAAGUACACGUGGUAUUUUUUUCUUCCUAGUGUUCUCUUAUUAUAUGUAGAGUAUUUUCGGUUGUUGUUUUUAACGUAUACAUUAUUUUUAUUAAGUCAUUUCAUAAAAGAUAAGAUAUAUACUAAUAGACCCUUGGUUUUCUCCUAAUUUAAUUAUUUCAAGUCAAGCAAAAUUGGGCAAUUUUCUUUCAGGAAAAAAAAAAUAUUGAGCAUGAUUUUGAGGUAAAACUGAUUAUUUACAGCAUCUUUUCUCUAAUAGGCUAACAUUUAUGAUGGAUCUUAUUUCAAAGUUGAUUAUUCUCAAAGAAAAGUGGAGAUAUUAGAAUUUCCGAGUAAAUUGCAUUGUUUUAAAAAGUACUUUAAUGCAUUGUUCACAUUGUUGCCAGCUAUUGACCAAAAAAGAGAAGAAGAAAAAAGAAAUAAAAAAAGCAGUAUCUGCUCCAAACGUCAAGUUUUGCAGUUUGAAAGACUUGUACAUUAUAAUUGUUUUUUUCUUUUUUGGAAAGCAGUAGUAAUUAAUACCAAAGGCAUAGACAAUUUAGGGCCAUAACCUCCCUUCCCCCCUCUCCACCUUUUUUUUUUUUUUUUUUUUUUUUUAACUUUAACCAUGAUAGGCAUCUCUGCAAGGUAGGUUUUAACAUAUUUUUUUCCUAAUUUUUUUCCCUCCAUUCAGUAAGAAGGAUAAGCUUUUAGAGUACCCAGUCACCGUGGUAACUGCCAAAAAAAUUCUCCUGAAGUUUGAAGAGGUCAGCUAGCAGGGUCAACAACCCUGGCCUCUCUCUGAGCUCGGUCUAGCAUGCCCCAGCCUGCGGUUGGAGUGUCAGGCCAGAUCUGACCCUGGGAGGUGGACCAUUCUGGCUCUGAUAUAAAUUUUUCGAGUCAGUUCAUGGCCUGGACUCUCCAGGUGGCCUCCAAAAUCGAUUUUGACCCCCUGACCCUGUCUCACGGAGGCAUAGCAUCCACCCUAAGUAAGGAUUUAGCCAGGAAUGACAGCUUUCCACUGAGUGUUAUUGGGGACAGUAUAAACAGUUUGGAAAGCAAGUAAGGAGGUGUGAGGGCUAGCAAUCAUUAAAAGCACAUUAAAAAACAAUUUUUAAAAAUCUUUAUUAGAGAAAGUUGUAAAUGCAUAUCUGUUACAGAAUUCCUGUGAUUUGUAGAGUUUUCUAGUCAGUUUUGAAUAUAAAUAGGUCACAUAUCUUUAUCUUUUUGCAUACUUUGUUACAAAUAUGCAAAUAAGAUAGGCAUACUUGCUACAAAAUAGGUACAGCAGGAAUGUAAUAUGUUCAGAAAAGGCAAACUGGUUAUUAAAACACAUUAACAGGUAAGGAGUUUCUAAUAUUUUAAAUACUAAAAUUUUACAUGUGUAUUUUGAAGUUUUUAAAAUGGAAAAAUAAAGAACCUUUAA